rnacentral:sRNA from 1 species
UUGUGAAUACCAUUUGAGUCUGCAUAUCAUCUAAGUCAUAGAAAAAUCAAAAAAAUUUGAAUUUUUUUGAAAAUGAAUUUCACAAAAUUAGAGUGAUCAUUUAGUUGCAUUACAUUUAGGAUCGAGUCUAGAGUGUUUCAUAUAUGAUUGUUGCAUAUGCAUAGGGGAUAAUGAGGAAACAACCUUAUAAGCAUGAUGAUUCAGUAAAAUGAGUUAUUAGUUCUUUGAUGCAUUUGAAUGACUUUGAAGUAAAAUUGCACCAUGUUCUAUAGAAACCACUCGAUGCAUGUCAUGACGCCUUUCCCUAUCAAUUUGAACUUGAAUCUGACUUAUAAUUAUCAUGUUUGAACUCAUGGAAAGAAUACAUAUUUGGAUUUUCUUUCACUUAUUCACCACUCUUCUUAAUCCAAGUAGUUGUUUCCAUUAUUGAAGUAGUUCCCCCACCCUUAACCAACCCUUCUUUCAAGCCAUGUUAUUUUGUGAGAGCAUGUGAGGCCUAUUUUCAGGAUAGAGCUUGGUAGAAUGUGUUAGGUUUGAGCCGACAAGAGUAGUAUCUCAUGUAGUUCCAAUCUGUGUUUCAGACUUGGUAGGAUUAGGUGGGAACUUAUUUGGGGAUUGAGAUUGAGUGUGAAAAGAAAAAGAAAGAAAAAAAAAAAUGGGUUAGUGUCUUUAGGAGAAGGAAGGUAAAAAUCAUAUUGAGGUCUAGUGAAUGUUUGGGAAGCAUAAAAGUGUUAAGAUAUGCUCUAAAAAAAGAUGGCAACAAGAACAGAAAAGAAAAAAAAUUAUAAGAGCCAUAAGAGUUUAAGAAUAACUCAAUUCACUAGACAAGACUCAUAGAGUUUAAGAAAAGCUUCUCCUUAAGAACCAGAGCCAAAGAAAAGAAAGGAAACAUUGAUCCGAGAAAAAAUGAAAUAUGCCUUU